UACGGAAGGCAGCAGUGGGGAAUAUUGCACAAUGGGCGAAAGCCUGAUGCAGCUAUGCCGCGUGUAUGAAGAAGGCCUUAGGGUUGUAAAGUACUUUCAUCGGGGAGGAAAAAACAAAACUAAUAAUUUUAUUUCUUGACGUUACCCGAAAAAGAAGCACCGGCUAACUCCGUGCCAGCAGCCGCGGUAAUACGGAGGGUGCUAGCGUUAAUCAGAAUUACUGGGCGUAAAGAGCACGUAGGUGGUUUUUUUAAGUCAGAUGUGAAAUCCCUGGGCUUAACCUGGAACUGCAUUUUGAAACUGAAAUACUAGAGUAUCGUAGAGGGAGGUAGAAUUCUAGGUGUAGCGGUGAAAUGCGUAGAUAUCUGGAGGAAUACCUGUGGCGAAAGCGGCCUCCUAAACGAAUACUGACACUGAGGUGCGAAAGCGUGGGGAGCAAACGAGGGAUUAGGAUACC
rnacentral:rRNA from 1 species